AUGAACGCUAGCGACAGGCUUAACACAUGCAAGUCGAGGGGCAGCACAGGUAGCAAUACCGGGUGGCGACCGGCGCACGGGUGAGUAACGCGUAUGCAACUUGCCUAUCAGAGGGGGAUAACCCGGCGAAAGUCGGACUAAUACCGCAUGAAGCAGGGAUCCCGCAUGGGAAUAUUUGCUAAAGAUUCAUCGCUGAUAGAUAGGCAUGCGUUCCAUUAGGCAGUUGGCGGGGUAACGGCCCACCAAACCGACGAUGGAUAGGGGUUCUGAGAGGAAGGUCCCCCACAUUGGUACUGAGACACGGACCAAACUCCUACGGGAGGCAGCAGUGAGGAAUAUUGGUCAAUGGCCGAGAGGCUGAACCAGCCAAGUCGCGUGAGGGAUGAAGGUUCUAUGGAUCGUAAACCUCUUUUAUAAGGGAAUAAAGUGCGGGACGUGUCCCGUUUUGUAUGUACCUUAUGAAUAAGGAUCGGCUAACUCCGUGCCAGCAGCCGCGGUAAUACGGAGGAUCCGAGCGUUAUCCGGAUUUAUUGGGUUUAAAGGGUGCGUAGGCGGCCUUUUAAGUCAGCGGUGAAAGUCUGUGGCUCAACCAUAGAAUUGCCGUUGAAACUGGGGGGCUUGAGUAUGUUUGAGGCAGGCGGAAUGCGUGGUGUAGCGGUGAAAUGCAUAGAUAUCACGCAGAACCCCGAUUGCGAAGGCAGCCUGCCAAGCCAUUACUGACGCUGAUGCACGAAAGCGUGGGGAUCAAACAGGAUUAGAUACCCUGGUAGUCCACGCAGUAAACGAUGAUCACUAGCUGUUUGCGAUACACUGUAAGCGGCACAGCGAAAGCGUUAAGUGAUCCACCUGGGGAGUACGCCGGCAACGGUGAAACUCAAAGGAAUUGACGGGGGCCCGCACAAGCGGAGGAACAUGUGGUUUAAUUCGAUGAUACGCGAGGAACCUUACCCGGGUUUGAACGCAUUCGGACCGAGGUGGAAACACCUUUUCUAGCAAUAGCCGUUUGCGAGGUGCUGCAUGGUUGUCGUCAGCUCGUGCCGUGAGGUGUCGGCUUAAGUGCCAUAACGAGCGCAACCCUUGCCACUAGUUACUAACAGGUAAAGCUGAGGACUCUGGUGGGACUGCCAGCGUAAGCUGCGAGGAAGGCGGGGAUGACGUCAAAUCAGCACGGCCCUUACAUCCGGGGCGACACACGUGUUACAAUGGCGUGGACAAAGGGAAGCCACCUGGCGACAGGGAGCGAAUCCCCAAACCACGUCUCAGUUCGGAUCGGAGUCUGCAACCCGACUCCGUGAAGCUGGAUUCGCUAGUAAUCGCGCAUCAGCCACGGCGCGGUGAAUACGUUCCCGGGCCUUGUACACACCGCCCGUCAAGCCAUGGGAGCCGGGGGUACCUGAAGUCCGUAACCGCGAGGAUCGGCCUAGGGUAAAACUGGUGACUGGGGCU
rnacentral:rRNA from 1 species